GGUGAACGCUGGCGGCGUGCUUAAGACAUGCAAGUCGAACGGCAGUCUUCGGACUGUAGUGGCGCACGGGUGAGUAACGCGUAACUGACCUACCCCACAGUCGCGGAUAACGAUUCGAAAGAACCGCUAAUACGUGAUGUGCUGUCAGAUUGUGUUCUGCCAGUAAAGAUUGAUUGCUUUGGGAUGGGGUUGCGUUCCAUCAGCUAGUUGGUGGGGUAAAGGCCCACCAAGGCGACGACGGAUAGCCGGCCUGAGAGGGUGGCCGGCCACAGGGGCACUGAGACACGGGUCCCACUCCUACGGGAGGCAGCAGUUAGGAAUCUUCCACAAUGGGCGAAAGCCUGAUGGAGCGACGCCGCGUGAGGGAUGAAGGUCUUCGGAUCGUAAACCUCUGAAUCAGGGACGAAAGACACUUCGGUGGGAUGACGGUACCUGAGUAAUAGCACCGGCUAACUCCGUGCCAGCCGCCGCGGUAACAC
rnacentral:rRNA from 1 species